rnacentral:rRNA from 1 species
UACGUAGGGGGCAAGCGUUGUCCGGAUUUAUUGGGCGUAAAGAGCGUGUAGGCGGUUUGGUAGGUCCGUUGUGAAAACUCGAGGCUCAACCUCGAGACGCCGAUGGAAACCAUCAGACUAGAGUCCGGAAGAGGAAAGUGGAAUUCCCGGUGUAGUGGUGAUAUGCGUAGAUAUCGGGAGGAACACCAGUGGCGAAGGCGGCUUUCUGGGCCUUACCUGACGCUGAGACGCGAAAGCGUGGGGAGCGAACCGG